rnacentral:rRNA from 1 species
GACGAACGCUGGCGGCGUGCUUAACACAUGCAAGUCGAACGAUUAUCUCCCGCUUGCGGGGGUGUUUAGUGGCGAACGGGUGAGUAAUACGUGAGUAACCUGCCCUUGACUCUGGGUUAAGCCUGGGAAACCGGGUCUAUUACUGGAAACUACUUCCUGCCGCAUGGUGGGGGCUUGAGAGGGUUUUACUGGGUUUGGAUGUGCUCACGGGCUAACAGCUUGUUGGUGGAGUAAUGGCUCACCCAGGCGACGACGGGUAGCCGGCCUGAGGGGGUGAGCGGCCGCACAGAGACUGAGAGACGGCCCAGACGGCGACGGGAGGAAGCAGGGGGGAAUAUUGCACAAGGGGCGGCAGCCGGAUGAAGAGAGGCCGCGUGAGGGAUAACGGCCUUAGGGUUGUAGAACUCUUGCAGCAGGGAAGAAGCCACAAGUGACGGUACCUGCAGAAGAAGCGCCGGCUAACUACGUG